rnacentral:rRNA from 1 species
UCCACGCCCUAAACGAUGCACACUAGUUGUUGCUAUGCUAGACAUAGCAGUAAUGCAGUUAACACAUUAAGUGUGCCGCCUGGGGAGUACGGUCGCAAGAUUAAAACUCAAAGGAAUAGACGGGGACCCGCACAAGUGGUGGAGCAUGUGGUUUAAUUCGAAGAUACGCGAAGAACCUUACCUAGCCUUGACAUUGAAGAAACACACUAGAGAUAGAGUGGUGCCCUUCGGGG